rnacentral:rRNA from 1 species
GUGAGGAAUAUUGGACAAUGGGCGCAAGCCUGAUCCAGCCAUGCCGCGUGCAGGAAGACGCAUCUAUGGUGUGUAAACUGCUUUUGUACGGGAAGAAACACUCCCUCGUGAGGGAGCUUGACGGUACCGUAAGAAUAAGGAUCGGCUAACUCCGUGCCAGCAGCCGCGGUAAUACGGAGGAUCCAAGCGUUAUCCGGAAUCAUUGGGUUUAAAGGGUCCGUCGGCGGUUUAAUAAGUCAGUGGUGAAAGCCCAUCGCUCAACGAUGGAACGGCCAUUGAUACUGUUAGACUUGAAUUACAAGGAAGUAACUAGAAUAUGUAGUGUAGCGGUGAAAUGCUUAGAUAUUACAUGGAAUACCAAUUGCGAAGGCAGGUUACUACUUGUGGAUUGACGCUGAUGGACGAAAGCGUGGGGAGCGAACAGGAUUAGAAACCCGAGUAGUCC